rnacentral:rRNA from 1 species
GAUGAACGCUAGCGACAGGCUUAACACAUGCAAGUCAAGGGGCAGCGGGGAGGUCAGCUUGCUGACUUUUGUCCGGCGACCGGCGCACGGGUGAGUAACACGUAUGCAACCUGCCCGCCACAGGGGGAGUAACCGGGAGAAAUCCCGACUAAUACCGCGUAGACCGCGAGGGGCAUCCCGACGCGGGGAAAGGACAUGGUCCGGUGGCGGAUGGGCAUGCGGCGCAUUAGCUAGUUGGCGGGGCGAACGG